AUUGAACGCUGGCGGCAUGCCUAACACAUGCAAGUCGAACGGGGGCAGCAAUGCCCUAGUGGCGGACGGGUGAGGAAUACGUAGGAACCGGCCCACGAGUGGGGGACAACCUGGGGAAACCCAGGCUAAUACCGCAUACGCUCGCGAGAGGAAAGCGGGGGGACCUUCGGGCCUCGCGCUGGUGGACGGGCCUACGUCCGAUUAGCUUGUUGGUGGGGUAAAAAGCCUACCAAGGCGACGAUCGGUAGCUGGUCUGAGAGGAUGAUCAGCCACACUGGGACUGAGACACGGCCCAGACUCCUACGGGAGGCAGCAGUGGGGAAUAUUGGACAAUGGGCGCAAGCCUGAUCCAGCAAUGCCGCGUGGGUGUAGAAGGCCUGCGGGUUGUAAAGCCCUUUAAGCGGGGAGGAAAGCCGGGGGGUGAAUAGCGCCUCGGGGUGACGUUACCCGCAGAAUAAGCACCGGCUAACUCCGUGCCAGCAGCCGCGGUAAU
rnacentral:rRNA from 1 species